UCCCUGAUGGCCUAGUGGUUAGGACUCUGGAUUUUCACUGUUGUGGCCCAGGUUCAAUCCCUGGUCAGGGAA